UGGGGAAUAUUGGGCAAUGGACGCAAGUCUGACCCAGCAACGCCGCGUGAAGGAAGAAGGCUUUCGGGUUGUAAACUUCUUUUAAGGGGGAACAGUAGAAGAGGGUACCCCUUGAAUAAGCCACGGCUAACUACGUGCCAGCAGCCGCGGUAAUACGUAGGUGGCAAGCGUUGUCCGGAUUUACUGGGUGUAAAGGGCGUGCAGCCGGAGAGACAAGUCAGAUGUGAAAUCCGCGGGCUUAACCCGCGAACUGCAUUUGAAACUGUUUCCCUUGAGUAUCGGAGAGGUAAUCGGAAUUCCUAGUGUAGCGGUGAAAUGCGUAGAUAUUAGGAAGAACACCAGUGGCGAAGGCGGAUUACUGGACGACAACUGACGGUGAGGCGCGAAAGCGUGGGGAGCAAACAGG
rnacentral:rRNA from 1 species